rnacentral:tRNA from 1 species
GGUUUUAUAUUCAAAAAUGAUUUUAAAUUGCAAAUUUAAAGGUGAAGGUUGCUUCUAAGACC